rnacentral:rRNA from 1 species
GGGUUGUGAGGUUAAGCGACUAAGCGUACACGGUGGAUGCCCUGGCAGUCAGAGGCGAUGAAGGACGUGCUAAUCUGCGAUAAGCGUCGGUAAGGUGAUAUGAACCGUUAUAACCGGCGAUUUCCGAAUGGGGAAACCCAGUGUGAUUCGUCACACUAUCAUUAACUGAAUCCAUAGGUUAAUGAGGCGAACCGGGGGAACUGAAACAUCUAAGUACCCCGAGGAAAAGAAAUCAACCGAGAUUCCCCCAGUAGCGGCGAGCGAACGGGGAGCAGCCCAGAGCCUGAAUCAGUGUGUGUGUUAGUGGAAGCGUCUGGAAAGGCGCGCGAUACAGGGUGACAGCCCCGUACACAAAAAUGCACAUACUGUGAGCUCGAUGAGUAGGGCGGGACACGUGGUAUCCUGUCUGAAUAUGGGGGGACCAUCCUCCAAGGCUAAAUACUCCUGACUGACCGAUAGUGAACCAGUACCGUGAGGGAAAGGCGAAAAGAACCCCGGCGAGGGGAGUGAAAAAGAACCUGAAACCGUGUACGUACAAGCAGUGGGAGCCUCUU